CAACUUUCAACAAUGGAUCUCUUGGCUCUGGCAUCGAUGAAGAACGCAGCGAAAUGCGAUAAGUAGUGUGAAUUGCAGAAUUCAGCGAAUCAUCGAAUCUUUGAACGCACAUUGCGCCCUUCGGUUAUUCCUUAGGGCAUGCCUGUUCGAGCGUCAUUUCAACCUUCAAGCCCAGCUUGGUGUUGGGCGUUGUCCCGCCUCUUGCGCGCGGACUCGCCCCAAAUUGAUUGGCAGUCGCAUCCACCGAGCCGCGAGCGCAGCACAAGUCGCGCGAGCCGGCGAGGCGGCAAGGACGCUCCACAAGACCCUUUUUUACAAGU
rnacentral:rRNA from 1 species